rnacentral:rRNA from 1 species
UACGAAGGGGGCUAGCGUUGCUCGGAAUUACUGGGCGUAAAGCGCACGUAGGCGGCUUUCUAAGUCGGGGGGUGAAAUCCUGGAGCUCAACUCCAGAACUGCCUUCGAUACUGGAAAGCUCGAGUCCGGGAGAGGUGAGUGGAACUGCGAGUGUAGAGGUGAAAUUCGUAGAUAUUCGCAAGAACACCAGUGGCGAAAAGCGACUUCCUGGACCAGUACCGACCGUCAGGCACGAAAGCGUGGGGGAGCAAAACAGG